GCGCCCGUAGCUCAGCUGGAUAGAGCGUCGGUCUACGGAACCGAAAGUCGGAGGUUCGAAUCCUUCCGGGCGCG
rnacentral:tRNA from 1 species